rnacentral:lncRNA from 10 species
ACAGGGGUCUGAGGUUGAUCCCGGAGGCGCGAGGAGUCGGUACGGGUCACGGUUGUCCCGGCCCCUGAGGCGCAGGGUAGGAGUGGGGUCCCAUAGAUGUCAGACUCGGUCUGCAAGUAUCGUCGGCCUUCAUUUGUAGGUGAACAAGCCGAGAUUCUUGUGGCGUGAUAGGACUUGUGGUCGCCACGAAGGGGCCAGCUCCAUCGGGAAUCUGUAAUCGCCCAGCAGUUUCCCCGCCCCGCGCAUGUGAAAUAUGUAGCCCUCCGUAUUCAUUCUAGAAACUUCUGGGAACCCAGCGCCUUGGGGAGAUAGAACCGAGCCAGAUGUUCCCCCGCUGCGAGGAACUCAGAACCUGCAUAAAUAGAGAAGGUGGCAGGCAUAUAGUAGGGAGACCAGUAAUUCCAUUGAGCGCUGAUUUUGGGCCAGGCACGAUACAAGCAUUAUCUCUGCAAAACAUCUUAUUCAUUCGUUCAGCAAACGUUUCUUGAACUCUCAGAAGGAUGAAGGAAGUUUACCCAGCUAGUAAGUGGAAGAACUGGUAUUGGAACCCGAUCUGUCUGACUGCAGAGUUCCACAAUCUUGCUGCCAAGUUAUGUGGGGAUAACAAUGACUAUUUUAUGUCAUCUAUUCAUUCUUCCAGCCUAUCAGCCUCCUGUGUCUUAAGCAGAGUGGAGACGGGGGUGGAUCCAGGCGCACCAGUAAGUUGUACUGGAGUUAAGCAGUAAGCUUUCUGGGCAGAGGAAAGUGCGGGCGUAAAGGUCCAAGGCUUGAAAAGGCGCAGCAGCACCUUUUUCUCUUUGGGGAAAGAAGCGGUGGCUGCGGGGAAUAAACCAACUCUGUAGAGGGGCGGGGCCGUGGGAAAGCGGUGGAACGGGGCAGGAAGGCUGGGCGUCAUUUGGGAGGCAAGGAACUUUUCUGUAAGGCAUAGCGCCCUUUCUGCACGGGACCUGUCCAGGUUCCACGCCACAGGCUUCUGCAGUUCCUGCAAACUGUUCCCAUCCCGCCCCGCGUUGCACGUCGGGAUUUGGAGUUCGCGAUGCUGAGAGCUGUUUCCACGUGGCGAUUCCGACUUGACCCGUCGUGCUCCGGCGCCCGCCUAGGGGGACCGAGGAGUUUGUCAUUUCUUGCCUCGUUAGGGUGCGGAACGAAAACCAUUUGAUUUAUCCUAGAAAAGGAAAGGCUGAAGCCAACUAAGUAAAAGUUUUCCAUUAAAUGAAUGCACGUUGUAGAAAAGGAAUGUUCAACUGCCCUACAAAUCCAGAGGUAGAAAUGGGGGAGGGGAGAAGGAAUUAAAUAGGACACACACACACACACACAAACACACACACACACACACUCUUGGGGGGGUGUUUGGGUAUGGAAAGUAGGUCCGAUUGCAGAAUUUAUUUUAAAUGAUUCCCGCAACCUUGGGAAGUUGGGAAGUGGUGAAUCCGCUGCCGAAAGGCAUUUGUGCUUAUGGUAAAUCCAGGUCUUAAAAUUCUGUAGACUGGUAGCUAUAUGGAUAUGAUUUUAAUAGACGAGUUUCAGGAAGACUCUCUCAAACUGUUUUUUGUUGUUGUUGUUUAAAAACUUACUUGAAAUAUAUUGGAAACCACAUAUACAUAAUCUCUCACACACACUACAUAAAGAAGUAAAAAUUCCUUUCCCUACUUCUUUCAUCCUAUCCAAUUUGUAGAGUCAUAACCAUUCUUAAUAAUUUGAUGGGUAUUCAUUUCUUCCCUAAAUUUAUAUGUCUAGAACUAGAGCUAGAGUGUAUGCCUACAUACACA